UGCUAUUUUAUCCCAUUUAUUGUUCGCCCCAGAGUUUAUCUUUGGGGUUCCCAUCUUUAGGAAUUAAUUAAAAGCUUUGUCCACUACAACCCAUAUUUGGGAACUUCUUCCCGAUUAUGUGUUCCACCUUGCAGGCCGGACCCGUGAAUUUCUCUCAGGUGAUUAUGAAUGUUGAUUGAAUGCCUUCAGAAAGUGUACGGUGGGCCGACCCCGGCUUUACCGCCUUGCAAUGUCGAAGCGAUGGUAACCAAUUCUUUAGUGGCAGACCGGUGCGAGGAUACCACGUGGGGUAUCUGCCCUUGGGCCCUGGAAUAACUUGGGGUAAACUCGUUGCUAAUACCGGGUAAGGUCUUUCUGGAGAAUAGCUUUCUGCACCAUUGGAUGAGCCCGCACUUGAUUAGUUUGUUGGUAGGGUUAAUGGCCUACCAAGACUGUGAUCAAUAGCUGAUUUGAGAGGAUGAUCAGCCACAUUGGGACUGAGACACGGCCCAAACUCCUACGGGAGGCAGCAGUGGGGAAUCUUGCACAAUGGAGGAAACUCUGAUGCAGCGAUGCCGCGUGAGUGAAGAAGGCCUUUGGGUUGUAAAGCUCUUUCGUCGGGGAAGAAAAUGCCUGUACCCGAAUAAGAAGGUCCGGCUAACUUCGUGCCAGCAGCCGCGGUAAUACGAAGGGACCUAGCGUAGUUCGGAAUUACUGGGCUUAAAGAGUUCGUAGGUGGUUGAAAAAGUUGGUGGUGAAAUCCCAGAGCUUAACUCUGGAACUGCCAUCAAAACUUUUCAGCUAGAGUUUGAUAGAGGAAAGCAGAAUUUCUAGUGUAGAGGUGAAAUUCGUAGAUAUUAGAAAGAAUACCAAUUGCGAAGGCAGCUUUCUGGAUCAUUACUGACACUGAGGAACGAAAGCAUGGGUAGCGAAGAGGAUUAGAUACCCUCGUAGUCCAUGCCGUAAACGAUGUGUGUUAGACGUUGGAAAUUUAUUUUCAGUGUCGCAGCGAAAGCAGUAAACACACCGCCUGGGGAGUACGACCGCAAGGUUAAAACUCAAAUGAAUUGACGGGGACCCGCACAAGUAGUGGAGCAUGUGGUUUAAUUCGAAGAUACGCGCAGAACCUUACCAACACUUGACAUGUUCGUCGCGGCUCUAAGAGAUUAGAGCUUUCGGUUCGGCCGGACGAAACACAGGUGCUGCAUGGCUGUCGUCAGCUCGUGUCGUGAGAUGUUGGGUUAAGUCCCGCAACGAGCGCAACCCUCACUUUUAGUUGCCAUCAUUUAGUUGGGCACUCUGAAAGAACUGCCAGUGAUAAGCUGGAGGAAGGUGGGGAUGACGUCAAGUCCUCAUGGCCCUUACGUGUUGGGCUACACACGUGCUACAAUGGCAUUUACAAUAGGAAGCAAGAUGGCGACGUCAAGCAAAUCCUAAAAAGAUGCCUCAGUUCGGAUUGUACUCUGCAACUCGAGUACAUGAAGCUGGAAUUACUAGUAAUCGCGGAUCAGCGCGCCGCGGUGAAUACGUUCCC
rnacentral:rRNA from 1 species